rnacentral:rRNA from 1 species
UACGUAGGGUGCGAGCGUUGUCCGGAAUCACUGGGCGUAAAGCGUGCGCAGGCGGUUCGCUGUGUCCUGUGUGAAAGCCCCGGGCUUAACCUGGGAAUGGCAUGGGAAACUGGCGGGCUGGAGUGUGGCAGAGGGGGGUGGAAUUCCGCGUGUAGCAGUGAAAUGCGUAGAGAUGCGGAGGAACACCGAUGGCGAAGGCAGCCCCCUGGGCUAACACUGACGCUCAGGCACGAAAGCGUGGGGAGCAAACAGG